GAACCUGAAACCGUGUGCCUACAACAAGUUCGAGCCCGUUAAUGGGUGAGAGCGUGCCUUUUGUAGAAUGAACCGGCGAGUUACGUUAUGAUGCGAGGUUAAGUUGAAGAGACGGAGCCGUAGGGAAACCGAGUCUGAAUAGGGCGCCUUAGUAUCAUGACGUAGACCCGAAACCAUGUGACCUACCCAUGAGCAGGUUGAAGGUGCGGUAAGACGCACUGGAGGACCGAACCAGGGCACGUUGAAAAGUGCUUGGAUGACUUGUGGGUAGCGGAGAAAUUCCAAACGAACUUGGAGAUAGCUGGUUCUCUCCGAAAUAGCUUUAGGGCUAGCGUCGACAUUAGAGAUUCUUGGAGGUAGAGCACUGUUUGGGUGAGGGGUCCAUCCCGGAUUACCAAUCUCAGAUAAACUCCGAAUGCCAAUGAAUUAUGGUCGGCAGUCAGACUGCGAGUGCUAAGAUCCGUAGUCGAAAGGGAAACAGCCCAGACCACCAGCUAAGGUCCCAAAAUAAUUGUUAAGUGGAAAAGGAUGUGGGGUUGCACAGACAACUAGGAUGUUAGCUUAGAAGCAGCUAUUCAUUCAAAGAGUGCGUAAUAGCUCACUAGUCGAGUGACCCUGCGCCGAAAAUGUACCGGGGCUAAAACAAUUUACCGAAGCUGUGGAUACCUUUAUAGGUAUGGUAGGAGAGCGUUCUAUGUGUGAUGAAGGUAUACCGUGAGGAGUGCUGGAACGCAUAGAAGUGAGAAUGCCGGUAUGAGUAGCGAAAGACAGGUGAGAAUCCUGUCCACCGUAAGACUAAGGUUUCCAGGGGAAGGCUCGUCCGCCCUGGGUUAGUCGGGACCUAAGGAGAGACCGAAAGGUGUAUCCGAUGGACAACAGGUUGAUAUUCCUGUACUAGAGUAUGUAGUGAUGGAGGGACGCAGUAGGCUAACUAAAGCAGACGAUUGGAAGAGUCUGUCUAAGCAGUGAGGUGUGAAUUGAGUCAAAUGCUUAAUUCUAUAACAUUGAGCUGUGAUGGGGAGCGAAGUUUAGUAGCGAAGUUAGUGACGUCACACUGCCAAGAAAAGCUUCUAGCGUUUAAACAUACUCUACCCGUACCGCAAACCGACACAGGUAGUCGAGGCGAGUAGCCUCAGGUGAGCGAGAGAACUCUCGUUAAGGAACUCGGCAAAAUGACCCCGUAACUUCGGGAGAAGGGGUGCUGACUUAAAGUCAGCCGCAGUGAAUAGGCCCAAGCAACUGUUUAUCAAAAACACAGCUCUCUGCUAAAUCGUAAGAUGAUGUAUAGGGGGUGACGCCUGCCCGGUGCUGGAAGGUUAAGAGGAGCGCUUAGCGUAAGCGAAGGUAUGAAUUGAAGCCCCAGUAAACGGCGGCCGUAACUAUAACGGUCCUAAGGUAGCGAAAUUCCUUGUCGGGUAAGUUCCGACCCGCACGAAAGGCGUAAUGAUUUGGGCACUGUCUCAACGAGAGACUCGGUGAAAUUUUAGUACCUGUGAAGAUGCAGGUUACCCGCGACAGGACGGAAAGACCCCAUGGAGCUUUACUGCAGUUUGAUAUUGAGUGUCUGUACCACAUGUACAGGAUAGGUAGGAGUCUAAGAGAUCGGGACGCCAGUUUCGAAGGAGACGCUGUUGGGAUACUACCCUUGUGUUAUGGCCACUCUAACCCAGAUAGGUGAUCCCUAUCGGAGACAGUGUCUGACGGGCAGUUUGACUGGGGCGGUCGCCUCCUAAAAGGUAACGGAGGCGCCCAAAGGUUCCCUCAGAAUGGUUGGAAAUCAUUCGCAGAGUGUAAAGGUAUAAGGGAGCUUGACUGCGAGAGCUACAACUCGAGCAGGGACGAAAGUCGGGCUUAGUGAUCCGGUGGUU
rnacentral:rRNA from 1 species